UACGUAGGGGGCGAGCGUUGUCCGGAGUACUGGGCGUAAAGCGCACGCAGGCGGUCUGUGAAGUUUGGAGUGACAGUUGGUGGCUCAACCACCAAAGUGCUUUGAAAACUGAUAGACUUGAGGGCUUCAGAGGGACACGGAAUUCCGGGUGGAGUGGUGAAAUGCGUAGAUAUCGGGAGGAAUACCAGUGGCGAAGGCGCUGACCUGGAC
rnacentral:rRNA from 1 species